AUACGUAGGGGGCGAGCGUUGUCCGGAAUUACUGGGCGUAAAGGGUGCGUAGGUGGUACUUUAAGUUGGAUGUGAAAUACCCGGGCUUGACUUGGGGGGUGCAUCCAAUACUGGAGAACUAGAGUGCAGGAGAGGGAAGCGGAAUUCCUAGUGUAGCGGUGAAAUGCGUAGAUAUUAGGAGGAACACCAGUGGCGAAGGCGGCUUUCUGGACUGUAACUGACGCUGAGGCACGAAAGCGUGGGGAGCAAACAGGGUUAGAUACCCUGGUAGUCCACGCUGUAAACGAUGAAUACUAGGUGUAGGGGGUAUCAACUCCCUCUGUGCCGCAGCAAACGCAAUAAGUAUUCCGCCUGGGGAGUACGGCCGCAAGGUUGAAACUCAAAUGAAUUGACGGGG
rnacentral:rRNA from 1 species